rnacentral:miRNA from 1 species
AAAGUGCUUCCAUUUUGGGGAAU